GACGAACUGUCCUAACGUUGUUCGGAAUCACUAGGCUUAAAGGGCGCGUAGGCGGUCCGACAAGUCAGGGGUGAAAUCCUGCAGCUUAACUGCAGAAGUGCCUUUGAUACUGUCGGUCUUGAGGGAGAUAGGGGUGUGCGGAACUCACAGUGGAGCGGUGAAAUGCGUUGAUAUUGUGAGGAACGCCGGAGGCGAAAGCGGCGCACUGGAUCUCUUCUGACGCUGAGGCGCGAAAGCUAGGGGAGCAAACGGG
rnacentral:rRNA from 1 species